UAACUAGAAGAAAGAUCAAAAUUAAUUAACUCAAUCGGCAGCAUCGAAUCGAAUUGACAACAUAACAUGGGUUAAAUUAAUUAUUUUUUAUUUUUAGUUAGGGAUUUGAAUAAACCAUCAUAGAGGAAGGAUUUAGGUAUUCUUUCUUGAAUCUCAAACGAAUGAAGGAAUCGAAAAGUUUGAACAAAUUCAGUUUUCACCACGUUCGGCUUCCCAUCCAGUUUUUUAAUCUCUAUUUUCAAAGAUAUCUAUACAUACGAUUAAGGGUUUGAUUUAAAAGAUGAAUAAUCGAAUGUCAGAUAGAAAAAGAUUUAUCGAAAUCGACAUCAGAUUCAGACUCUUGGCCCAAAGAAAUGUAAUUUUAUUUCCUCCCUUUGGUGACUCCUUCAUUGCUGCACUUUGACGCCCUCACGCAGUGACCAUCCACUCGAGUCGAUUUCACGUGGCUCUCUCUCUCUCUUUUCUUCUCUUUCUCUCUUUU
rnacentral:lncRNA from 1 species